rnacentral:rRNA from 1 species
CCUACGGGAGGCUGCAGUCGAGAAUCAUUCACAAUGGGGGAAACCCUGAUGGUGCGACGCCGCGUGGGGGAAUGAAGGUCUUCGGAUUGUAAACCCCUGUCAUGUGGGAGCAAAUUAAAAAGAUAGUACCACAAGAGGAAGAGACGGCUAACUCUGUGCCAGCAGCCGCGGUAAUACAGAGGUCUCAAGCGUUGUUCGGAAUCACGGGGCGUAAAGGGUGUGUAGGCUGUUUCGUAAGUCGUGUGUGAAAGGCGCGGGCUCAACCCGCGGACGGCACAUGAUACUGCGAGACUAGAGUAAUGGAGGGGGAACCGGAAUUCUCGGUGUAGCAGUGAAAUGCGUAGAUAUCGAGAGGAACACUCGUGGCGAAGGCGGGUUCCUGGACAUUAACUGACGCUGAGGCACGAAGGCCAGGGGAGCGAAAGGGAUUAGAUACCCGAGUAGUC